AAUAUAUAUACAAAAGACGUAUAUAUAUCAAUCAACUGAAGACAAGAAGAAAUUAAGAAAGAGUCUACAUUAACAUCCAUUCAUCUAGUUUUUUACAUUGGCUAGCCAGCCAGUCUUCUAUUCAAGUUUUGUUCCCACUUCAAGGGGGGAGAGAGAAGAAUCGAGUUACAAAGCUAUUUUGGAACUGGGAAAACAAACUUGAAGAGAAAAAAAGAAUCUAGACUGUGUUUGUAAGAAAAAGAAAGUUUUCAAAUCAAAGACUGUACAAGACUAUUUUCUACAACUGAGACAAAAAGCACAAGAUACAACGUGAAUUCUAGAAGCAAGCACGUGGCAGACAUUGGCAAGCGUCCAAGCAAAGAACUGCGCAGCUGUGUGGAUGAAGCAACGAAAUAGACAGAAAUAACUGAUCUGGUAAAGCGUGACAGAUCCUUGUGGCAAUAAAUCAGGAAAGUAUUCCUUCAGACAACUGGACAUCGACUGUUGGAAAGAGACUUUUCAUCUAAUCUGCAAACUGUGAUGGAAGAUUCUACAGAGUUCAUUCGAUACAGAAGAUUAACAGACUUACAAAGAAAUAAAAGAUUGACACUAACAUACAUAUAUAUUCCUAAAUAUUAAUGAAGAAAACAGACAAUGAAAAGUUAUUUAACAGUUAUGAGUAUUA